rnacentral:ncRNA from 1 species
UACCUGGUUGAUCCUGCCAGUAGUCAUAUGCUUGUCUCAAAGAUUAAGCCAUGCAAGUCUAAGUACGAGCUCUCGUACAGUGAAACUGCGAAUGGCUCAUUAAAUCAGUUAUGGUUCAUUUGAUCGUACAGUUUACUUGGAUAACGAUGGU